rnacentral:rRNA from 1 species
UCGGGAAUUUUGGGCAAUGGGCGAAAGCCUGACCCAGCAACGCCGCGUGAAGGACGAAGUCUUUCGGGAUGUAAACUUCGUAAGAAUGGGAAGAAUAAAUGACGGUACCAUUUGUAAGCCCCGGCUAACUACGUGCCAGCAGCCGCGGUAAUACGUAGGGGGCAAGCGUUGUUCGGAUUUACUGGGCGUAAAGGGCGCGUAGGCGGCGUGACAAGUCAGUUGUGAAAUCUCUGAGCUUAACUCAGAACGGUCAACUGAUACUGUUGUGCUAGAGUGCAGAAGGGGCAACCGGAAUUCUUGGUGUAGCGGUGAAAUGCGUAGAUAUCAAGAGGAACACCUGAGGUGAAGACGGGUUGCUGGGCUGACACUGACGCUGAGGCGCGAAAGCUAGGGUAGCAAACGGG